rnacentral:rRNA from 1 species
GACGAACGCUGGCUGCGUGCUUAACACAUGCAAGUCGAACGGGAAGGCCCUGCUUUUGUGUUGGUCUCGAGUGGCGAACGGGUGAUUAACACGUGAGUAACCUGCCCUUGACUUUGGGAUAACUUCAGGAAACUGGGGCUAAUACCGGAUAGGAGCUCCUGCUGCAUGGUGGGGGUUGGAAAGUUUCGGCGGUUGGGGAUGGACUCGCGUCUUAUCAGCUUGUUGGUGGGGUAGUGGCUUACCAAGGCUUUGACGGGUAGCCGGCCUGAGAGGGUGACCGGCCACAUUGGGACGGAGAUACGGCCCAGACCCCUACGGGAGGCAGCAGUGGGGAAUAUUGCACAAUGGGCGGAAGCCUGAUGCAGCAACGCCGCGUGCGGGAUGACGGCCCUCGGGUUGUAAACCGCUUUCGCCUGGGACGAAGCGUGAGUGACGGCAAUGGGUAAAGAAGCAGAGGAUCCCUACGUG